rnacentral:tRNA from 1 species
GCCUCGGUAGCUCAGCUGGGAGAGUGUUAGACCGAAGAUCUACGGGUGACCUGUGCGAUCUAGGUUUGUGGCA